rnacentral:lncRNA from 1 species
AAGUCUAUAUAGAAAUUGAACCCUAGCCUCAGCUCAGUCCCGUCAGCACCGGCCAGCCAACCUGAAAACAUUUGAAAGUAUUUUUGGGCUAAGUACUAAUGUACUCAGUGGGCAUGCAUUUUCAUAAACAUUUCAUAUUUUCUUAAAGACAGUUUAUCCAAUCAUACUUGACAUAACUUAGAAGGUUUUAAAUUGAAAGAACUUCUAAGCAUGUUAAAAUAAUUUCUUUCAUUUGUGCGCACAUGUCACACUCCCUUUCUGUUACUCGCUGUGAUCCCGGACCUUUUAGCCACCGACGGAUCCAUUUCUCCCAUUGCACUUGCCCUGAGGACGUAACUCAGACAAGUUGAAUUGACCUCGGGACGCUACCCAGGCAGGCCCUUACAUUACAUGCUUCGGAACACAUCCAGCAAGCACCCUUAUAACGCCUCUUAGUUAGUGCCCGAUGGAGAUCAACCCACCGAGUCAGCUAACGGUGUACACAAUUCUCAAAUAACGUGUUAGGCCAUAAGAGAACCUCGAUCGAUCCAUGAAUUGUAAGCCUUAAACAGAGUAGAGUGCACAUAAACAUUUUAUUGGAUAAACAGUUUGCAUUUCAUUAAAUAAACAAUUUGCAUUUCAUUGAAACAUUUAGAGCUUAAUAACUCAAUCAUACUUUAUACAUUUGGAAAGUAAGCCCACCUGGAUAGGCAAAGCCUGAAGAUCAUAAUCACAUAAACUCGUCUUGGGAAAGCAGCGCUAAUCCCCUUGGUUCAUAAAGCCUACAAGAAAUUCUAUUCUUAAUAGGUCUCCUUAAUCUUAUCUUAAGUCAUAGUGGAAGUGCUAGACAUUCUUUGAUUCAUCACGCCGAGUUCUCAAAAUUUAAUAAUAAAGAUUGAAAACUAACUUUUGAGCUAAGGACACCAACAAUAUCCUUACUCAAUUUUCUUUAAUAAUUGGAUUUAUAAAUAAACCAAUUAAAUCAUAAAUACUUUUAUUGCAUGAUGCAAAUGCAAUGUCAUGUCAUGCUUAGCAUAUAAGUAAUUACUUAAAAUAUGCACUUCAUAAUAAUAAUAUUAUUAUGCAAAUCAUCUUUAAAAUAAUUAAUCAAAUUAAUUAUAGUCAAAUUAAUAAAUUAAUUAGACUUAGGUAAAUAAUUAAAUAAGUCCAAUACCUUGAAUUAAAAGUCAAGCCCAAAUUAAUAAGAGCAACUCAUACGUUGAUUUAAAAUAAUUUACAGCCCAAACAUUUGCAUCCAAGUUUUAAAUAAAACAAAGAGGCCCAUCUAAAAUAAAUUUGCAGCCCAUCAUUGGACUCAAAAUAAUUAGGGCAAAGCCCAAACCUUUUCUUCUCUUUAAAAAAAUACCCACACACACAAAACACAUGAACACACACACAAACACACGCACACACUCACACACUCAGCGCCGCAGCACCCCUCCCCCCAUUCUUUAUUCUCCGGCGGCGGUAGCGUCGCCGGCACCGCGUGCCCGGUCGUCGCCGCCCUCUCGCCCCUCGACCUCUCCCCUGUCUCUCUCCAGCUCCGACGAAAUGUCAGCGACAGCCACCACUCCACCUCACACCUCUCACUGCUCUGCCCUUCUUCCUUUUUUUCUUCAACGGCGAGGAGCGUCGCCGUUCCCACUGCUCUGGCGACGACACAGCCGUAGGCCGCGCCUCCGCCCUGCAAAAACCUUAGCUUCUCUAAAGCACUGACAGCCCUCCUCUCCUUCUCUCGAUUUUGGCAAGCGAAGUGGCCGGUGAGGCCAACCACGGCACACCCAGCACCAUCUUUCUCUCAAUGGCUCAACGGCAGUCACCGCCGCUCGGAUUUCAGACGAUAGUGCCGCCCCUGUCUCCCUCUCUCUCUCACCGUCCUCGGCCCGGCAGCAGCGGCAGAGCCGCCGUGCCGUGCCUCUCUCUGUCUCGCAGCCCUCUCUCUCACCUCUACACAUUCCGGCCGACAGUGGCGCCGAGCCACCGCCUUCUCCAGCCCGACUCUACUCUGGUGACAGCAGCGGAAGCUACCACUACCGGUCUCCCUCCAUUCUUCCCUCUGAGGGGACAACUCACAGCCAAACCACCUUCCAGCUCAAGUCACACAAACACAGGAGCCCCAACAUAAAGGAAAAAUUAUGCUUCAAGACUCUACUUUUUAUUUCACUAAUUCAUGCUUUUCAUAUAUGUAUGCAAACAUUGGUAUAUGCGAAUAUAAAUAUACAUUGUAUCCGAGUAAAGUAUGAGGCAUAAUUGAAAGAUUGAAGUGAGGUGGAACCUUGAGUGAGUUUGAAUGUGGCUGAUAGUUGGAUUUGAUUUUCUGUUGUAUGGUUGAAUCUCAGUGGGCGGCAGUUCUUGCAUUUGAGUUUCCUUUUUGAGAAAAUUAUAUGUGUGAAAUGGAAGAACUUUUCUUGUCAAAGUA